CCUACGGGAGGCAGCAGUGAGGAAUAUUGGUCAAUGGGAGAGAUCCUGAACCAGCCAAGCCGCGUGAGGGAAGACGGCCCUAUGGGUUGUAAACCUCUUUUGUCGGAGAACAAAACCCGGGACGUGUCCCGGACUGCGUGUAUCCGAAGAAAAAGCAUCGGCUAACUCCGUGCCAGCAGCCGCGGUAAUACGGAGGAUGCGAGCGUUAUCCGGAUUUAUUGGGUUUAAAGGGUGCGUAGGCGGUCCGUUAAGUCAGCGGUAAAAUUGCGGGGCUCAACGUGGGAACUGCCUUUGAAACUGGCAAACUGGAGUGUGUGAGAGGAUAGUGGAAUUCCAGGUGUAGGAGUGAAAUCCGUAGAUAUCUGGAGGAACAUCAGUGGCGAAGGCGACUAUCUGGCACAUAACUGACGCUGAGGAGCGAAAGCGUGGGUAGCAAACAGGAUUAGAUACCCGUGUAGUC
rnacentral:rRNA from 1 species